GCCCGGCCCCCACCCUCACUCCUUUAGCCCUCACCUGUGCCCACUUCUUUACAGUUUGAGAAACAUUUUCGAUUUCAAAACUCUAUUGGUUCCAUGUAAACUUCAUUUACUGGGCACCUGGCACCUUGCUGAGUCUUGAGGAAUGAGCAGAGACAACGCGGUCCCUGCUGUCAUGGAGCUGGCAUCCUGGUGGGAAGAGACAGACAGCAAACAAAUGCUUAGAUACAUGACGAAGAUAAUUUUAGAGCAGUAAGUGCUAGGAAGAAAAUUAGCAGGUGAAGUGACGGCUAGGGCUCCUUGACUGGUGGUGAGAGAAGGAGGCCUGUCUGUGCAAAGAUCUAAAUAACAGGAGGAACCGCCAUGGGUAAAGUCUGGGAAGAGCAUUUUUUUUCUUUUAGAGGCAGGGUCUUGCUGUGUUGCCGAGACCGAACUUGAAUUCCUGGCCUCAAACAGUCCUGCCACCUCAGCCUUCUGAGUAGCUGGGACUACAGGAGCCUGUCCUGCUGGGAAGAGCAUCCUUGGCAGAGAGAACAUCAAGUGCAAAGGUCCUGAGGCAGGAGAGAACUUGGGACCCUCUGAAUGCUGCCUCGCCACAACUCAUUUUACAGAUAGGAAAAUCAAGGCUCAGAGAGGUGAAGUCACUGAUCCAAAGUCACACAGCAGGGGAGGCUUCUGAACAAACGAGGGCCCUUCCAGAGGAGGACAGCCAUAGGCCUAACCAUCCUGAGACUGCUCUGCAUGAUGCUGGCUGAGAGGGCUCAGGCUUCUCAGAGGAGAACUAGGAACUGAUCAGUGAUCACUGUCAGCAGAGCUAGCCCCAAGAGACUUCUGCUGCUGACCCUGCUUGUCAUCCUCAUUUGCACACAGACAGGAUCUCGCUCUGUCACCAGGCUGUCUGUACAGUGACACCAUCAUGACCCACUGCAGCCUCAACCUCCCAAGCUCAAGCAGCC